rnacentral:lncRNA from 1 species
AUAAUACAUGUUGAACAUAGCUGUUCAAUUAGGUAGAGCAGGCAAAACAGCACAAUUGAUUUGAUUUCAAUUAAACAUUAGUUUACCUGUUUAAACAAUAUUUUUGUACUUCAUUUGCUGCCAAGUCCUCGUGGGGCAACUCGGGGUUGCGUAAAUUGACACACACACACACACACACACACACACACACACACACACACACACACACACACACACACACACACACACACACACACACACACACACACACAAUUUACAUAUUGAAUAAGUGGAAGAUAUUAAACUUUCCUCUUAUUUUAUUUUAUUUUACUAAUUUAUUUGACUCACGCAUUGACUUGUUCAGCUAUUUCCUGCCAAGCUCUCUCUCGCUGCCGCGGCGGUAUUGCUUUUUUUUGUUAAAAUGGGUAACUGCUCCUCGGCAUACACGUUCAUUAGAAUUUCCAAUUCCGUGGGGGAAAAGUAAGUGGAUCUACGCUUUUGGUCCAUGUUUGAUCAUGUUAUCAGAGAUCCAUUGAUGAUGGCUCUUCAUAGUCAACAGGCACGCCCCCAACCCAGAGUGAACAUACUCAGAGUUGAUUAACCCAACGCUGAUCACCUGUUCUGAAACCGAAAACCCAGAGUUGCUUUUCAACCCUGAACUCUGAGUCAACCAACUCAGAGCGCAGGAUUAAACUCAGAGUAUGUUAAACCAGCUACCUGAAACAGGCCUCUGGUCAGUAGCGCAAUGGUAUUCAGAAACGGCAAAAUACCGUUUGCGCCAGAACAUGAUCAAUCCCUAAUUUACCGGCGAGUGGCGGUGGUGGGAAAAGAACGCUCUGCGCCAGUUGUAAACUAGCAACGACACAUGCGCCAGUGACUAAGACACUUGCGCCGGAUGCAAGAUAGGGCCCUAUGUGUUCGAUCCUGCUUCCUAGUGGCUAUGUGGGGGUAAUACAGCUUGUUUGUUCGAUCCUGCUUCCUAGUGGCUAUGUGGGGGUAAUGCAGCUUGUGUGUUCGAUCCUGCUUCCUAGUGGCUAUGUGGGGGUAAUGCAGCUUGUGUGUUCGAUCCUGCUUCCUAGUGGCUAUGUGAGGGUAAUGCAGCUUGUGUGUUCGAUCCUGCUUCCUAGUGGCUAUAUGCGGGGCAGCUUACGUGCUUACAUUUUUUAAUACCCAUUUUAUGGGUCCAAACCGAUCCAAACACCACUUUUUUUCAUGUCCCACCACUGUGGUCUCAAGGUUGAGACGCGU